AACGAACGCUGGCGGCAUGCCUAACACAUGCAAGUCGAACGAGACCUUCGGGUCUAGUGGCGCACGGGUGCGUAACGCGUGGGAACUUGCCCUUAGGUUCGGAAUAACUCCCCGAAAGGGGUGCUAAUACCGGAUAAUGUCUUCGGACCAAAGAUUUAUCGCCUUUGGAUGGGCCCGCGUUGGAUUAGCUAGUUGGUAGGGUAAAAGCCUACCAAGGCGACGAUCCAUAGCUGGUCUGAGAGGAUGAUCAGCCACACUGGGACUGAGACACGGCCCAGACUCCUACGGGAGGCAGCAGUGGGGAAUAUUGGACAAUGGGCGAAAGCCUGAUCCAGCAAUGCCGCGUGAGUGAUGAAGGCCUUAGGGUUGUAAAGCUCUUUUACCCGGGAUGAUAAUGACGGUACCGGGAGAAUAAGCGCCGGCUAACUCCGUG
rnacentral:rRNA from 1 species